ASGCRGCUACACAUGCAGUCGAGCGGAUGACGGGAGCUUGCUCCUUGAUUCAGCGGCGGACGGGUGAGUAAUGCCUAGGAAUCUGCCUGGUAGUGGGGGACAACGUUUCGAAAGGAACGCUAAUACCGCAUACGUCCUACGGGAGAAAGCAGGGGACCUUCGGGCCUUGCGCUAUCAGAUGAGCCUAGGUCGGAUUAGCUUGUUGGUGAGGUAAUGGCUCACCAAGGCGACGAUCCGUAACUGGUCUGAGAGGAUGAUCAGUCACACUGGAACUGAGACACGGUCCAGACUCCUACGGGAGGCAGCAGUGGGGAAUAUUGGACAAUGGGCGAAAGCCUGAUCCAGCCAUGCCGCGUGUGUGAAGAAGGUCUUCGGAUUGUAAAGCACUUUAAGUUGGGAGGAAGGGCAGUAAGUUAAUACCUUGCUGYUUUGACGUUACCGACAGAAUAAGCACCGGCUAACUCUGUGCCAGCAGCCGCGGUAAUACAGAGGGUGCAAGCGUUAAUCGGAAUUACKGGGCGUAAAGCGCGCGURGGUGKUUUGUUAAGUUGGAUGUGAAAGCCCCGGGCUCAACCUGGGAACUGCAUCCAAAACUGGCAAGCUAGAGUACGGUAGAGGGUGGUGAAAUUUCCUGUGUAGCGUAAA
rnacentral:rRNA from 1 species